CCGCAGGGGACUGCGGAGGA
rnacentral:rRNA from 1 species